GACGAACGCUGGCGGCGUGCUUAACACAUGCAAGUCGAACGGAAAGGCCCUGCUUUUGUGGGGUGCUCGAGUGGCGAACGGGUGAGUAACACGUGAGUAACCUGCCCUUGACUUUGGGAUAACUUCAGAAACUGGGGCUAAUACCGGAUAGGAGCUCCUGCUGCAUGGUGGGGGUUGGAAAGUUUCGGCGGUUGGGGAUAGACUCGCGGCUUAUCAGCUUGUUGGUGGGGUAGUGGCUUACCAAGGCUUUGACGGGUAGCCGGCCUGAGAGGGUGACCGGCCACAUUGGGACUGAGAUACGGCCCAGACUCCUACGGGAGGCAGCAGUGGGGAAUAUUGCACAAUGGGCGGAAGCCUGAUGCAGCAACGCCGCGUGCGGGAUGACGGCCUUCGGGUUGUAAACCGCUUUCGCCUGUGACGAAGCGUGAGUGACGGUAAUGGGUAAAGAAGCACCGGCUAACUACGUG
rnacentral:rRNA from 1 species